UGGGGAAUUUUGGACAAUGGGCGAAAGCCUGAUCCAGCAAUGCCGCGUGUGUGAAGAAGGCCUUCGGGUUGUAAAGCACUUUUGUCCGGAAAGAAAUCCUUGGCUCUAAUACAGUCGGGGGAUGACGGUACCGGAAGAAUAAGCACCGGCUAACUACGUGCCAGCAGCCGCGGUAAUACGUAGGGUGCGAGCGUUAAUCGGAAUUACUGGGCGUAAAGCGUGCGCAGGCGGUUUGCUAAGACCGAUGUGAAAUCCCCGGGCUCAACCUGGGAACUGCAUUGGUGACUGGCAGGCUAGAGUAUGGCAGAGGGGGGUAGAAUUCCACGUGUAGCAGUGAAAUGCGUAGAGAUGUGGAGGAAUACCGAUGGCGAAGGCAGCCCCCUGGGCCAAUACUGACGCUCAUGCACGAAAGCGUGGGGAGCAAACAGGAUUAGAUACCCUGGUAGUCCACGCCCUAAACGAUGUCAACUAGUUGUUGGGGAUUCAUUUCCUUAGUAACGUAGCUAACGCGUGAAGUUGACCGCCUGGGGAGUACGGUCGCAAGAUUAAAACUCAAAGGAAUUGACGGGGUCAUAGCUGUUUCCU
rnacentral:rRNA from 1 species